AACGGUAGCUAAUACCGCAUAACGUCGCAAGACCAAAGAGGGGGACCUUCGGGCCUCUUGCCAUCGGAUGUGCCCAGAUGGGAUUAGCUAGUAGGUGGGGUAACGGCUCACCUAGGCGACGAUCCCUAGCUGGUCUGAGAGGAUGACCAGCCACACUGGAACUGAGACACGGUCCAGACUCCUACGGGAGGCAGCAGUGGGGAAUAUUGCACAAUGGGCGCAAGCCUGAUGCAGCCAUGCCGCGUGUAUGAAGAAGGCCUUCGGGUUGUAAAGUACUUUCAGCGGGGAGGAAGGGAGUAAAGUUAAUACCUUUGCUCAUUGACGUUACCCGCAGAAGAAGCACCGGCUAANUCCGUG
rnacentral:rRNA from 1 species